GAAGCUCUCCUCGCGGGGCGGGCCGGCCGGCCGCACCCCCGGCCUGGGGCCUCCGGUCGUAGUAAAGCGCAGGCGGGCGGGGAGGCGGGAGCAGGAGCCCGCGGCCGGCCAGCCGAAGAUGGUGGCGGCUACUCCUCCUGUCAUACACGUGGACCUAACUGCACCAGUAGCUUUUCUGAGAAUACUUGCUGAAAAGGAAGUUUUCUGGAAUGGGUAAGUGUAUUCUGAUUUUCUUGAACUUUUCUUAAAAACAAAUUUUUCUUGCUAUUAAAGUUGAAUAAAUAGGAUUGGUUUCUUAGAGAGUAAAAGUAGGUGUUUCUUUCUUUAGACAAUGUACCUUUUCUGAAAAACUAACUCAUUAAGUACGGAUUUGCUAAUUUUAAGGUAGUAAAAUUACAGUGUAAAUAUUCCUGUACAUUUUUGGAAACUGGCUUAUGCAGUUUACGAAAUAUAAUUUUAGACCCUCUUUUAAGUUGGGUGAUAAAGUAGAUAUAACCUGAGAUGAUAGAUUUAAACAGGAUAUUUACGUUCUGCUACAAUUGACUGAUAACACUUGAAGUGUAGUCUGAACAGUAAUUUUGUUAAUCAUUUCAACAAGUAUUUGCUAAGUGGAAGCCAGAAGAGGAGGAAAAUGUUUUGCCACGUGGAUGUGAAGAUUUCCUCUAAAAGGUACACAUGGACUAAAUUGCCUUUAAAUGUUCCAAAAUUAGUUCUCAUUUAUUUGCAGUCUCAUUUUGUUUUGUUUUUUUUCUCUAUGUGUCAAUCCAUUUGGGAGAGGCCAGCCAUUGGAAGAGCCACCACUUCCAGUGCUAGUUGGAUGGUUGGUUAUGAUUGCCUUCUGUAAAGAAUUCUUAAGGCAUAAAUACGUGUCUAAAUGGACCUCAUAUCUUUGAGAUAAUUAAACUAAUUUUUUCUUCCCCAUUAGGGAUUAUGCUGAAUUUGUAUGGUUUAUAGUUGUUAGAGUUUGAGGUGUUAAUUCUAAUUAUCUAUUUCAAAUUUAGCAGGAAAAAAGAGAACAUCACCUUGUAAAACUGAAGAUUGUGACCAGUCAGAAUAAUGUCAAAGUGCUUACAGUGCAGGUAGUGAUAUGUGCAUCUACUGCAGUGAAGGCACUUGUAGCAUUAUGGUGACAGCUGCCUCGGGAAGCCAAGUUGGGCUUUAAAGUGCAGGGCCUGCUGAUGUUGAGUGCUUUUUGUUCUAAGGUGCAUCUAGUGCAGAUAGUGAAGUAGAUUAGCAUCUACUGCCCUAAGUGCUCCUUCUGGCAUAAGAAGUUAUGUAUUCAUCCAAUAAUUCAAGCCAAGCAAGUAUAUAGGUGUUUUAAUAGUUUUUGUUUGCAGUCCUCUGUUAGUUUUGCAUAGUUGCACUACAAGAAGAAUGUAGUUGUGCAAAUCUAUGCAAAACUGAUGGUGGCCUGCUAUUUCCUUCAAAUGAAUGAUUUUUACUAAUUUUGUGUACUUUUAUUGUGUCGAUGUAGAAUCUGCCUGGUCUAUCUGAUGUGACAGCUUCUGUAGCACUAAAGUGCUUAUAGUGCAGGUAGUGUUUAGUUAUCUACUGCAUUAUGAGCACUUAAAGUACUGCUAGCUGUAGAACUCCAGCUUCGGCCUGUCGCCCAAUCAAACUGUCCUGUUACUGAACACUGUUCUAUGGUUAGUUUUGCAGGUUUGCAUCCAGCUGUGUGAUAUUCUGCUGUGCAAAUCCAUGCAAAACUGACUGUGGUAGUGAAAAGUCUGUAGAAAAGUAAGGGAAACUCAAACCCCUUUCUACACAGGUUGGGAUCGGUUGCAAUGCUGUGUUUCUGUAUGGUAUUGCACUUGUCCCGGCCUGUUGAGUUUGGUGGGGAUUGUGACCAGAAGAUUUUGAAAAUUAAAUAUUACUGAAGAUUUCGACUUCCACUGUUAAAUGUACAAGAUACAUGAAAUAUUAAAGAAAAUGUGUAACUUUUUGUGUAAAUACAUCUUGUCUUGUUUUCAUUCAAAAACAUUUCACUUUUGGGGUUGCGUGUCAGAUUUGGCAGUAUAAAUUCUGGCUAUAUUUUUUGUUGUUAGAUUUAUUUGGCUGUUAAGUAUUGCGAUAUGACUAAACAUACUGUAUACCUGAUGAUCAUCUGUAAAGUUAGAGUAUAUCUUUUUGCUUUCUUUGGAGUUAGUGUUAUUCCAGGAUAUUUUACUUAAUCUAAAAGUUAAUUUAUGUUGCUCAUAUAUUACUCAAGUAUUUAAAUUUAGAGAGAAUGCCGCUCUGUUUAAAGCAAUGUGUAAAGAUGAGUUUUUUUAAGCAUGGAAUUUAGGGUUGGGGUACAAUUUGUUUCUAUUAAGCAAGUACCAGUUUACCAAUACAUGAGUAACUGAAGUGUAACUGUUAAAUGCUUGUAUACUAGUUUUUCUUUCUGAUUGUCAGUGAUUUAUAAGCUAUAAAUGACCAAGGUCCUCAGACUGCUUUUAGCAUCUGCAACUUAAAAAAAUGGGAGUUAGAAAAAGAACAAAUGCUAAAUAGAGUAACAGUUAAAUGUAUGUGUACACUCUUCCCAAAUGCCAAGAGUGCAGCGGUGGGGUGAGAUUCAGAUAUUCAUUUAUUUCUAAGUCUGUAGUUAACAUUUAUGUUCCCUACUCCCUACGUAAGCCAGACUUUGGCAACAGUGAUAGUUGAUUCCAGGCUUAUUUGACUUAAAGUCACUGAAGUGGAAACUAAGAAGUGGCAGUUAGUGUUUUACCCAGCAUUUCUGCCUUCUCUCUUUUCUUCAUGUGUUUUUGUCUCUAGCCUAUGUGUAUUUGUGUAGAAUAAUGUGGGAUACCUGAAUAAUAGAUUUAAAAGGACCAAGUGGUAAAAUUGGGCCCAAGCUGAAGUACAGGCAAACUUGAUGUUUGAAAGAUAAGUUUUGAGAAAUGUCAUUGUAUUUUGGAGUAAAAGAGGCUAUCUUAGUAAUAAGAAAUAAACUUCCAUAACACUAGGUUAGACCACCCAAUAAAUCUAGAAAUCAGCUUUUAAAAAUAUUGUCUGAAGUCUAACAAAAGUUUUCACCUCUAAUGUGUUCUUUAAGAAAUUUAAGGAACUUAGCCUUGGAUUCCUGAAUAGAAAGGUAAGAAUUCUAUCAUUCUGGAGUUGAUGAAAACAUAAAUUUUCAGGAUGUGAAAUGAACAGUGAUUUAUAAAAUGGAAAUCAAAUUGUACAUUAGCAGAGUUCUUAAGCUUUUUGAAUUGAAGGAGACCUAAUAAUUGUGUCUUUUUGGUUAUUUAGUGACAAACGUGGCUUUCAAACUAUGCUUAAAAAGUUCCGGCUGGACACGGUGGCUCACACCUAUAAUCCUAGCACUUGGGGAGGCUGAGGCAGACGGAUUACCUGAGGUCAGGAGUUCGAGACCAACCUGGCCGACAUGGUGAAACGCUGUCUCUACUAAAAAUAUAAAAAAUUAGCCGGGUGCAGUGGCGUGCACCUGUAAUCCCAGCUACUCUGGAGGCUGAGGCAGGAGAAUCACCUGAACCUGGGAGGUGGAGGUUUCAGUGAGCUGAGAUCCUGCCACUGCACUCCAGCCUGGGCGCAAGACCAAGACUUAAACGCAAAAAAAAAAAAAAAAAAAAAAAAAAAGUUUCAUAAUACAGCAUGGUCUGGUAGUUUGCAAAAUGGUGUGCUUUUGGGGAGAUACACUAGCAAUUUUUUUAAAAACUGGAACAGUGUGAUAGGAAGCCUGCUGGAUGAUUUCUUAAAUAUUCUAAAAUGUAAGUCAAAUAUGUUUUAAUAACAAAGACUUAAAUGGCUUUUCUCCCUAGAGACUGAAACUAGUAUUCAUUGUGUUCAGAACUUAAUUGGGCUUGAACUGAGAUUUAAAUCUAAUAAACAAGUUAAUAAAUGUGUAUGUUUUGUUGUGGGUUUGGUAGUGAUCUGUGGUUCUAUAGGGUUUAAUAGGAAUUGCUUUUGAUUUGUUUCUGGCUUUAGAAUGUGAGGCAAAUUUUACAUUCUUGGUUCUAUUAAGAUUUUCUUAGGCAUGCUAACAUGCCAACAAAAAGCCAUGUAAGUAUUGUAUAAAAAGAUUCACAUUGUUAAUUUAGCCAUUUUGAAAUUCAGAUGAGUGAGCAAGUUGAUAAUGGCCUCAUCUCUGACCUGAGAAAAAACAACUUUGACCCUUGUUCUUAAAAUGCUUUAACCUUGAAGUUGCUUGAGACUUAAGAGGUCAUGUUGCUUUAGGUUUAAUAAAUAGCCUUAACUAUUUGGAGGGGAAAAAAUGGGUCAACUUUUUUUUUUUUUUUUGGCGUUUGCAUGUACAACUUUCUAUUUUUAGCCUAUAUUUGGAAAGAAAGCACUUAACAUUUUAGGAAUUCUUUUUAAAGCUGCUUGCAAAGUGUUGGUGAUUUUACUGAAAACUUUUGAGAUCUUCAUUUUACAGGCAGACCUGUCUAACUACAAGCCAGACUUGGGUUUUCUCCUGUAGUUUGAAGACACACUGACUCCUGACAAAAUGCAGCCUGCAACUUCCUGGAGAACAACUCAGUGUCACAUUAAAGUUUAUUAUGUAUUUAAUGAUACACUGUUUAAUUGACAGUUUUGCAUAGUUUGUCUAACUUUAGAGAAUUAAGAGCCUCUCAACUGAGCAGUAAAGGUAAGGAGAGCUCAAUCUGCACAGAGCCAGUUUUUAGUGUUUGAUGGAAAUAAGAUCAUCAUGCCCACUUGAGACUUCAGAUUAUUCUUUAGCUUAGUGGUUGUAUGAGUUACAUCUUAUUAAAGUCGAAAUUAAUGUAGUUUUCUGCCUUGAUAACAUUUCAUAUGUGGUAUUAGUUUUAAAGGGUCAUUAGGAAAAUGCACAUAUUCCAUGAAUUUUAAGACCCAUAGAAAAGUUGAAGAAUGCUUAAUUUUCUUAUCCAGUAAUGUAAACACAGAGACAGAACAUUGAGAUGUGCCUAGUUCUGUAUUUACAGUUUGGUCUGGCUGUUUGAGUUCUAGCGCAUUUAAUGUUAAUAAAUAAAAUACUGCAUUUUAAAGCUGUUAAGAAAUUGUCCAGAACGAGAAUAUUGAAAUAAAAACUUCAAGGUUAUUAUCGCAGUUUUUAUGGCGUUUUUGUUUUGUCACUACAGAUGGUCUAAAGGUUACUUAUUAAUUAAUUGGGGAAGUGGAGACAAGGACCAAAGUUUAUCUGGAUUUUCUUAUUUAAUCUUCAUUACCUGUGAAAUAUGUAUUUGUAUUCUUACUUUACAUAUGAGAUCAGAAGUUCAUUUUCAAGCAGAAUGGAAAGGUGGUAAAUGGACUCUGAAUUAAAAUAUGUCAGUAUUUUAAAAGGUUAUCUUCUGCCUAGUAUUUUUAUGGAAUCUGACAAGUUCUCAGAUCACACUUGUUUCCUUAAAUCUUGGUAAGUCUGAAGCAUUCUUCAUUUUGUUUAUAUUAUACACGUUAGUAAGGUGGGAGUUCUUUUGUUUUUUGUGUUUUUUGGCCAGUUGAUAACAUGAAAGUUUAAGAGAGGAGGCCAAAGUAUAUAAAAAGUCUUAAACUCCUGCUUCUAAUAAAUGUCCAAUAUGUGUUGGCUCCUGG
rnacentral:lncRNA from 1 species